UCCCGCUUGCGUCAUACGGAAGCCGGCAGAACCGGAAGUGUACUUAGUGAUGAAGGACGGGACGGUACGGGCAAAUUAGAGCUUUCACCAAACUAUCAAAACAUAAGCUGGUCAUGACCUCCCUGACUUCUCAAGGAGGAGAGAACCCCAAAAAGAAGGUGAUCAUGCCUUCCCUGACUGCUCAAGAAAGAAGUGAAAACAUUAAGAGGGAAAGGUUAUAACGUAAGGCAGAAUAACUAAAUAGGACAAUUGGAGAAACUGGAUCAGGACAUUAAAAAGGGAACUUUGGCACAACAUAACCCCUUCCCCAAAUAAAUCUAACUUUUGCCAAAGAAAA